UCACAUAAAGCAGAGGGACACUCCACGCUCUGGAUGGGCCUCCUGAGCCACUGUGAGUCCACAGAGGUGGGAGCACCUACCUCCAGCUGCUUAGUGUCAACAAGGCACUAGGACCUGAGCGUCACUGCCGCCUAGAAACCCUCCCUCAAACAUCGGCUCAGCCUGAGGCUUCAAAGGGUUCAGAGCAGCUGGGGCCACACCUCGUUCAUCAAAGGGAAGCCACACAGCCAUGUGGCACUUGGGUGCCUGAGGACCUGCCUGCCGGAGUCUUGGGCAGCUUUGAGGUUCGCAUCUCAGUGCAGGAGUCUGGAGGGGCCCGCCUGCCUCUGCACCUCUCCCCUGAACCCUGCUCCUCCUACUCCUGCACAGAACUCCCAGCAGUGGAAGGAGGCGGAAGCAACUGCUCAGAAAAAAGAUCGUGGCUCUAGCCAGGUCUGAAGGUGCAGAAGCUGCAACUCCAGAGGGUCCUGGGAGGAGCUGGGGCUGCCUGCACCCCAAGCUCAGGAGCAUGGGCCUCCUGAUCUGGAUACAUUCCUCUGCUGGGGGCUGCAGGUCCUUUUGUGCUGCCCAUCCUCCUGCGGGCUCAACGUCCUUCCCCCCACGGAGGGCUCCAGGGAAGCAACUUGGUCCGUAUCUGCUGGAGGCCUGAGAGCAGGGUGUGGACAUGGGCUUGGAGCCCUGGGGGUGAGGCCCCUGGAGGAACCAAAGGGACUAGAGUGGCAAGAGGGCUGCGGGGAGGGAGAGGCCUGGCUUUUGCAUUGAGCGUGGCUGUGACCACAGCCACAGCUUCCCGGGAACUGCCACAGGUCAAGCAUGCCCCUGAGAUGCCAAAUCCUCUACAGUCUCUCCUGAUGCAUGGGUGCUUUCCAAAGUCACAUGUCCAGGGACUCUUUCCCACCAAGGGGCAACAGGACGGUCACAUCUGUCAAGGCCCUGCUGAUGCAUGGACAGCUGCGUGGCUCUGGGUCUGCUGUCACAGCAGGACUGUGGGAUUCAGGUCGGAGCCUCUUUCCUCGUCUUGGAGUGGUGUCUACUUUGUGUGAGUAUUCAAUGACGUGAGCUUAGUCCCACCCAGUCGCUGACUCAGUGGCUGGCCUGUACCCCGCUCCCCUCACCUUUCUGGGCCUGGA
rnacentral:lncRNA from 1 species